UACAGAGGUGGCAAGCGUUGUUCGGAAUUACUGGGCGUAAAGGGUGCGUAGGCGGUUUGCUAAGUUGGAUGUGAAAACUCUGGGCUUAACCCAGAGCCUGCAUUCAAAACUGACAAGCUAGAGUUCUGGAGGGGGUAGCGGAAUUCCUGGUGUAGCGGUGAAAUGCGUAGAUAUCUGGAGGAACACCGGUGGCGAAGGCGGCAUCCUGGACCGAUAUUGACGCUGAGGAGCGAAAGCCAGGGGAGCAAACGGG
rnacentral:rRNA from 1 species